UUUUGUUACUCUCUCUUAAUUUUUUCUAGAGAAAGUUAAAGCAAUAAACAAUAACCUUCAUUUCAGCACCAUAUUGAAGCAGAGAUUUUUUAAGUUCUACCAUAUCCGCUCCCAUAGGGUAAAAAUCAGGUAAUACCCUCCUCCAAAUAAGCGGGGUGGGUGGCGGGUACCCAUCGGAUUUGGAGAAAUUGCCAUAUCCUUGAUCAAUACCCAAUGCGAAAACAUUGCAAUCUCCAGGGGCGAGGCAAGAAAAAAAAAAUUCUAAAAACGUUCAACAAGUAAAAUAGAAAAAAAAAAUCAAAAAAGGUAAAAGUGGUGGGCCCCAUUUUUCUUAUGGAAACAACAAAUUUUUAACCCACAAGGCCUCAUUUGGGAGUUCACCCCUUGGCAGUCGUCAAGCUGGCAAUGUAGUAUCCAUUUCCUUGUGCACUGCUCUAAUGACAGCAGUAGCUUGUUCAAUCUGGUCUUCACUAGAACAAGCGUUGAGAAG